AGCCCCGUAGUCUAGUGGCCAAGGAUGCAGGGCUUUGGACCCUGAGACCAGAGUUCGAAUCUCUGCGGGGCUA
rnacentral:tRNA from 1 species